GUGGGGAAUAUUGGACAAUGGGCGCAAGCCUGAUCCAGCCAUGCCGCGUGUGUGAUGAAGGCCUUAGGGUUGUAAAGCACUUUCGCCGAUGAAGAUAAUGACUGUAGUCGGAGAAGAAGCCCCGGCUAACUUCGUGCCAGCAGCCGCGGUAAUACGAAGGGGGCUAGCGUUGUUCGGAAUUACUGGGCGUAAAGCACACGUAGGCGGACAUUUAAGUCAGGGGUGAAAUCCCGGGGCUCAACCCCGGAACUGCCUUUGAUACUGGGUGUCUGGAGUAUGGAAGAGGUAAGUGGAAUUCCGAGUGUAGAGGUGAAAUUCGUAGAUAUUCGGAGGAACACCAGUGGCGAAGGCGGCUUACUGGUCCAUUACUGACGCUGAGGUGCGAAAGCGUGGGGAGCAAACAGGAUUAGAUACCCGUGUAGUCC
rnacentral:rRNA from 1 species